AGUGAACGCUGGCGGCAGGCCUAAUACAUGCAAGUCGAACGGCAGCACAGCAGAGCUUGCUCUGUGGGUGGCGAGUGGCGGACGGGUGAGGAAUACAUGGGAAUCUGCCCAGUCGUGGGGGAUAACGUAGGGAAACUUACGCUAAUACCGCAUGCGCCCUUCGGGGGAAAGCCGGGGACCUUCGGGCCUGGCGCGAUUGGAUGAGCCCAUGUCGGAUUAGCUAGUUGGCGGGGUAAUGGCCACCAAGGCGACGAUCCGUAGCUGGUCUGAGAGGAUGAUCAGCCACACUGGAACUGAGACACGGUCCAGACUCCUACGGGAGGCAGCAGUAGGGAAUAUUGGACAAUGGGCGCAAGCCUGAUCCAGCCAUGCCGCGUGAGUGAAGAAGGCCCUCGGGUUGUAAAGCUCUUUUGUCCGGAAAGAAAAGCUUUGGGUUAAUACCCGAAGUCCUGACGGUACCGGAAGAUAAGCACCGGCUAACUUCGUGCCAGCAGCCG
rnacentral:rRNA from 1 species